AGAGUUUGAUCCUGGCUCAGGACGAACGCUGGCGGUGUGCUUCACACAUGCAAGUCGAACGGAGUAGCAAUACUCAGUGGCGGACGGGUGAGUAACACGUGGGAAUCUACCAUUAGGUGGGGAAUAACAGGCCGAAAGGACUGCUAAUGCCGCAUAUGUAGGCAUCUCGACAGAGAUGUUUAUGAAAGGAGUAAUCCGCCUUUUGAUGAGCCCGCGUCCGAUUAGCUAGUUGGUAGGGUAAAAGCCUACCAAGGCGACGAUCGGUAGGUGGUCUGAGAGGAUGAUCACCCACAAUGGGACUGAGACACGGCCCAUACUCCUACGGGAGGCAGCAGUGGGGAAUUUUACGCAAUGGGGGAAACCCUGACGUAGCGACACCGCGUGAGCGAAGAAGCCCUUUGGGGUGUAAAGCUCUGUCAACAGGAACGAAACAAAUGACGGUACCUGUGGAGGAAGCAUCGGCUAACUACGUGCCAGCAGCCGCGGUAAGACGUAGGAUGCAAGCGUUGUCCGGAUUUAUUGGGCGUAAAGAGUUCGUAGGCGGUUUGUUAAGUCUGAUGUUAAAGACCGGGGCUCAACCUCGGAAAUGCAUUGGAUACUGGCAGACUGGAGUGCAGUAGAGGCUAGUGGAAUUCCCAGUGUAGCGGUGAAAUGCGUAGAUAUUGGGAAGAACACCGGUGGCGUAGGCGACUAGCUGGGCUGUAACUGACGCUGAGGAACGAAAGCCAGGGGAGCAAAUGGGAUUAGAUACCCUGGUAGUCC
rnacentral:rRNA from 1 species